rnacentral:rRNA from 1 species
GACGAACGCUGGCGGCGUGCUUAACACAUGCAAGUCGAACGGAAAGGCCUGCUUUCCCUUGUGGAUUGCGGGUACUCGCGUGGCGAACGGGUGAGUAACACGUGAGUGAUCUGCCCCCAACUUGGGUAUAAGCCUGGGAAACUGGGUCUAAUUCCCGAUAGGACUGCAGGGUGGUGCCUGUGGUGGAAAACGAUUUUCUAGUGGUUGGGGAUGAGCUCGCGGCCUAUCAGCUUGUUGGCGGGGUAAUGGCCUACCAAGGCGGCGACGGGUAGCCGGCCUGGGAGGGUGGACGGCCGCAUUGGGACUGAGAUACGGCCCAGACUCCUACGGGAGGCAGCAGUGGGGAAGAUUGCACAAGGGGCGGAAGCCUGAUGCAGCGACGCCGCGUGGGGGAUGCCGGCCUUCGGGUUGUAAACUCCUUUCGACCGCGAGGAAGCCACCUGGUUGGAAGGGUGGUGACGGUAGUGGUGGAAGAAGCACCGGCUAACUACGUG